rnacentral:rRNA from 1 species
CCUACGGGAGGCAGCAGUAAGGAAUAUUGGACAAUGGACGAAAGUCUGAUCCAGCCAUGCCGCGUGCAGGAUGACAGCCCUACGGGUUGUAAACUGCUUUUAUACAGGAAGAAACACUCCGACGUGUCGGAGCUUGACGGUACUGUAAGAAUAAGGAUCGGCUAACUCCGUGCCAGCAGCCGCGGUAAUACGGAGGAUCCAAGCGUUAUCCGGAAUCAUUGGGUUUAAAGGGUCCGCAGGCUGUUUUUUAAGUCAGAGGUGAAAUCCUGCAGCUCAACUGUAGAACUGCCUUUGGUACUGGAAAACUUGAGUUAUUGUGAAGUGGUUAGAAUGUGUGGUGUAGCGGUGAAAUGCAUAGAUAUCACACAGAAUACCGAUUGCGAAGGCAGAUCACUAACAAUAUACUGACGCUCAUGGACGAAAGCGUGGGGAGCGAACAGGAUUAGAUACCCUGGUAGUCCACGCCGUAAACGAUGGAUACUAGCUGUUCGUCUAACAUUGGUUAGAUGAGUGGCUAAGCGAAAGUGAUAAGUAUCCCACCUGGGGAGUACGGUCGCAAGACUGAAACUCAAAGGAAUUGACGG